AACAAUUGUUAUUAAAGCAGUCCGUGGAAAUCUCGUGAAUAAUGAAUACGAAUCUCAUAACUGCACUCAGUUAAGUUUCCCCAAAGGUUUCACGAAGAACUGCUGUUCGCCAGAGGUCGUCAAAAUGGAAUACAAUAAUAUCAUAGUCAGCAUUCCCAACGAGAGGUUUUCCUGCACUCAUGGAUUGGGAGAGGUCAUUUACAAAGAAAUGCUAGCCGCACCUUCCGACGCGAUUAUCCAGGUGGAUGAUACAACUGAUGAAGUGACACCUAGAGAGAUCUCCUGAGACGCUGCAUCCGAACGGCCAGAACCGAAAGUCUUACAUUUUCAAUCAAGCAGCAGACCUUGACAUUUUGUCUACUAAACCCUGAAUAAUAGAGGAGCUGAAAACCUUGAACCUUGGGGUUUCAAAGUGGAGCCUUAAACUUUGAACGAGGUUGGAUUUUAAUUCCUACAUCUUACGCCUUGAAAAUGGGGUGUACAAGUAUGAAUCUUUAAUCUCAGACUUCGGCCAGGGUGCAACCCUCACACAUUAAGCAAUUCAUUAAACCAUUGGAGUUUAAACAUAUUAUUUGGAAUAUCUCCAAACUGGAGUUUUAGUUUACAAUUUCAGGAGUCAAGGCCAAUUACUCGAUGCUCAGGGUUCAGGAUGAGAAUUGAAAACUCAGCAUUAAAGGCUUAUGAUUUAAGGUCCAGAUCUAGUGCCUCAGUAUUCAAAAAACAAAUGCGCGCGCACUAAGAUUGAAGAACAGAAACAAGCAGCUGAUAGUUAAUGGGUUUUUAAAACGCGCGAGGUUUCUGGCAGCGGGUGUUAACAUGGGAUUGGUCAAUUGGGUCCAAAGUUAUAAGUUGAACGAGCAAAUGUGGCCAUUACAAAUAAUUAGCGACAUUUUGAAGGCGUGUUUAUAAAAAUUGUAAUAGUAGAGAUGAAGCAGAGAAACAUUUUUGUGGAUUCGGCGAUUCGUGGUCAUUUUAGACAAAAGACAUUCGGUUCCCUAGGGAGUAAUUCAUACCCAUCAGAUCCCCAGGUGUUAGAUUCUCCCCAAAAACAAUUAAAUCCUUCCAAACUCUCGUGGUCAUUUUUGACAAAGGACCAUAAUCUCUUCCUUAUCUGGGUUACCCCAGACACCUCGGCCCUACAUUCUCCCCAAAAACAACGAAAACCCUCCGAACUCUCUGUAACAAAAGACCUUCACUAUUUUAAUGUUUCUGAACGCUUUGAAACUUCCACAAAAGAAAAACUUUCACCAAGCAAAAUCAGACAACCUACUUUUGUUGAUAUUUUGGCAAAUGCAAGCGUUUAAACAUUUUAUUUGUAGCGAGUCAAGCCCUCUUUGUUCCGUUUCCCGCGUAAAAACAGUAAACUAAUCCUUUGUGGCACGUUUAUUUAAUUUGUCCUUCACCGAAAUUGCCUGUCUUAAUUUAUGCGACGGACCGCAUGUAUGACGUUCAUUUUUUAUUUUUGUCUUACUUGCACAAUUUGACUUGAAUACCUCCGACACGUUUAAUUAAUUUGUUCUCUGGUUUUGUGCUCCCGAGUGAACUUUUUUGUGUCGUUUCUUAGUCUCUUUGUGGCUAAAACUCGAAUUUCGUUACCGCUUGUUUGAUCGCAAAAUAGUUGCGAGCUUUAACGCGGCUCGAGCCGUAGACCCUUCAGAAAAUCUCUCCAGAUUAAUCCCUACCUAUCCCCACGCUUGUAUGCCGGCUACGUUUUUUUGGGUUAGGGCGUAUACCUUUCUCGUUAUAACACGACUCAGGUACAUAACUUCCUUGCAGCAGAACUGACAUUUGGUUCGAUUGGCACGAAGUUCCUGGAGAGCCUUGAGGACAAUCUCUACGGCUUUGAUGUGUUCUUCAAGCUUUGGCGACAGUGGGAUUAGAUCGUCCAAGCAAACUACUAGGUGAAUAUUGCGCAGAACAAGUGUCGCCUGUCCAUGUCUCUGGAAGUUUGCAGGCGCGUUGCUUAACCCGAAAGGCAUCCGUGGAAACCGGUACAUUCCAGAGGGGAUAACGAAUGAUGUCUUGUCUUGAUUUUUUUCGUGGACUUUGAUCUGCCGGUAUCGUCCAUAUUUUCCCAGAGACGGUCGAACUCGAUUUGUUGGUACCGCUUAGAUGCUCAGGAGGAGGUCGGGAGGCUGGUUUUCUUAGCUGAUGCCAAACCUGCCCAGAUUACUUCGGCUUCCUCAAUGAUUGGAGUCUUUUUGGUGGUGGAAUGUGUUCGUUCUCUCCAAGUGGAGUGUAGCAUGAGAAGCCGGUACUCAUCGGGCGUGCAGUGCACCUCCUCGUUUGUUUUUCGUAGCUGUAUCUAGCAAGCGGGUUGUGGUGAGUGAGGUUCUUGGAGACAUUUUCUUUUUAUAUAAAAGAAAUCCUUUGCGCCAGCCGGUCAUGUUGGUGACGAUUCCGGCCUCUUCAAUGGCAUCUACCGGCAGCAUAUUCUCAUCAACCAGGGUAACGUCCGUGUCUGUAUUGGUGCACUGUGGUGGCUGUGUUUUUCCAAUAGCCGUUCUAGUUCGUGACUUCUGAUACUGACUCUGGCGCCGGGGUCCUGAAACACUGUACUAUUAUGCCCUAAUAUGAAUAGGAGGACGGCUGGGCGAGAGCGGGCCAUACAUUCCACAUUCAGAGCGCAGAAACUGACAUCUUUGCGCCUCGGAGUUUUUAAUUCCAGCUCCUUCUUCUUUCGACAUAGUUUGAUAUCGUGGCCUCGAAAAUUGCAGAAGAAACAUCGUUACUUCUUCUUGCCGUUUCCGAAUUUCCUCUUGGUUCCGUUUGAGUCUGUGUACCCCAUGGUCAAUGCGGCGGUUCGGGUAUCAUCGAGGAGUUGUUUCCCCAUCAGAACUUUUAUUCUGGUCAAAAAAGGGCAAGGGUAGUAACAGCGCAAUGUAAUUAGAACACGUUCUUCUUAUCCAGCGACAUUUACAAUGCAAACGGCUCUAGUACAAACUUUCGUGACUUUUGUUUAAUUUAUAACGUAGAUAAAUACGUGGAGCAAGUGUGUGCAUCUCAUUCGUGUUCAGUAUGGCGCAAGCACAUCUCGUUAUUGCCUUCAUCGUGGCCUUCUCCAUUUUAAAGGUAAUUUCGAUCUUGACCUUCCGAUGUAACCUUUUUUUUUGUAAUUUAGAUCCAAUCCCUCGUCGAUCAGAAAAUCGCCGAGCGCGAUUAGGGCGUAGAGCCUUUCAUGACCGAAUGCAUCUGUGCCUCAAACGCAAAUCCGGAUGAGUCGUACAGCUGGUUCAGGAACCGAACGUUUUUCAAAUCUUCGUGUUUCAAGUGUUUACUUCGGUGCGUAACCACAAAGAUGGGCCAUUUCAAAACGGACGGUACCGUGGACAUUGAUGGUACUGUUGCACAGUACCGUGGCGUGCUAACCAAGGAUCAGGUCACCAAGUGCGUCACACCCCAGCAGAAUAAUCUGGAUCUCUGCGACAAGGCCUACCAAAUUUUGCUGUGUAACGAGAAAACGAUACGUGGCACCGUGGUGGUCUAUUAAUGGCUAUGCACAAGGAUUUGUACUGAGUUGGUGUGAGUCCAUUUGAUGAAAAUAAAUGUAAAUAAUAAUGUAAAUGGAAUGCAACCGAACCCUUUUCCAGUCUUCAUCACAAUCUUCUUGGUCAUAUGCAACGCCUCCUUUCCUUUUAGCAAAACCGCCAAUCUCUAAUUGCUGCAAGUUUCCACCAGACCCCAUUUGCAACUUGCUUUGCAACCAAGGCCUUUUGUUUCAUUGUUUAACUGUUACGAUGCACAUUACUCCAAGGUUCUGUAGUUUCUUUACUUCAGCACCAGAACGUUCCUAAAGAAAAAAAUCCCAAUUUUUCAUCAAAACUCUUUUCGUGGCACCAGUCCCUUUUAAAACCACUAUCUGGUGCGUCGCCUAGUGUUGAGUUUAUUUAACCUUAUCGGCAGAACGUCAGUACCUGUUGCCAAACUCUUCAAUUUUGAGACAUAGGUCGCUGGUUUUAUUAGCCAUUUUUUUCUACUAAGAUUGUUUUAUCAAUCACAUCGGUGGUUUAGUAUCACCAGGGCUUUUUGUACUCACCAUUUGUCGCUUAGCCACCCAGUUUAGUUUUAAAUUUUGCUAAAGAAAGAAGCUUUUUGGUUUUAUAGUCGGGCCCAAUUUGGUGGCCCAGAUUCCUCUUCUUUACCACCUAAAACCACUUCGGUUUGAUAACUUAUGUAUUGCCGGGAACGCUUUUACUGUAUUGUCGCCACAAGGAUGGGUUUGUUGACUCGAUGGGUGUCAACUUCAAAACCUUGAAUAAUGUUGUUUUUGUCUUUUUUGUACAUCAGAUUGCAUUUGGAGUAUUUCUUUGACUGUAAGCUUCUUUUUUUCGCUUAAUUUCUCUAGCUCACCAUGAGGGGAAGCCACUGUUGAAUUCUGGUGUUCAAUCUCUUCGAAUUCAUUGAAUUCUUACGGAAUUUCUUUCCCAAGUUAUGGUUUAGGAUUAGUAGUAGGAUAGUUUCUUACAAAGCUCCCUAGGUCAUCGUCCGCUUUUCAGGUCUCGUUUUAUUGUGCCAGCAAAUAGCACGUAGAGGCCGCUUCUGUCGCUAGCUUCUCUACUUUACCACUAUCCUGCUGCCAUCUGUCGUCCGUCUCUCAUUUUUUGAAUUUUUUUUAACUUCUUUCGGUUUCACUAUCUUCCCACAAAUGUUUUUUUUCCUUCUGCGAUUGCUUAGUUAGUCUAUUUCACCACCACAAUCCUUUAACCCUCCAAAUCCGCUUUUGCGCCAUUGUAUGUCUCUUAUUUCGCCUUUAUUGGAGUCUCCCUCACUCAGUUAGUCUCUGUAUAUUACCAGCAGUGGAAAAAUUCUUCCUCUGUGCCACCAAAAACCCUUUUAGUACCAUGACGGUACGGUAAGCUCUUUGCUGUCUACAGGAGCCAUUUUACUUAUUUGUCGGUAUCUUGGCUCAAACUUUUUUGACAAUACUUUCAAUAGUCUUAUUUUGGCACCAGAUCGGUAGUUUUUUAAUUGAAGGAUUUUAGGCUGGCAUGUAUCAAACCUUAAACGUUAAUAGUUCAGGAAUUCUGGUUCCACGAAGAUUUCCAUUACAGAAUUUAUUGUACGAUUUCCCAAAAAGGAUUCAUACCCGUUGCUCUACGUUUACGUUAUUCUGGAUACGUAUAACUAGCAAAACUUAAGUACCAUAGCAACGAUUGUCUUAAUAAUCGUUGCCACAGAUUUUAAGUUCGACUUAACUUUCAGCAAGGCUUACUUUUGUUGGUGCAACUGGGGCUCAAUGUCAUUUUCCGUGGUACCAUUGUGGGAUUCAUUUAGUACCACAAAGGGUAUUGGACGGUUGGUGUCCAAAUCGUUUUGAGUUUUGGGAAUGGGUGCGAGCUUGGAAAGAUGAAAGAUUCCAUGUUCAACGUUCCAACCCGAAGGUUUAAUUCAAACCCAAUGUAUGAGAUUUUGCAACGGUUAAGGUUUAGUUGAAGAUUAAACCCCCAGGGUUAAUAGUCUUAUGCUUAACGGUGUUAACGAAACGUUUUAACCUCAACGUUGGAAGCUCAAGGUUUAAAUCUUGAGAAACGUUUAAUAGUUCAUAGAGUUCAAGGUUUGAAAUUACAGUUUAAGGUUUUCCCUGAAUAAUUCCAGUUUUAUGAGGGAAGGUUUUGAUGCAUUGAUUUAAAAGCUUAAAUUCUCAGUUGCAACAGUAAAGGCUUACAAUUCCCAGAUGAAAGGUUAAAUUUUAUUACCUUUAAACAGAAAGGUUUGAUUUCAGGUUUAAAUUGGAGCAUAGGUUCUAUACCUAACGGUUCGAAUCCGAAGAUCUGGCACUUGAUGCUCAAGGUUCACGCUGUUAGUAAUGAGAAGGCUUAAUAGGAAACCCUCAGGGAUUAAGUUCAAUGGUGUGCCGUUGUAGGAUUCAUUGAGUUCCACCAAUGCUAUUGGAUGGUUGGUGUCCAAAUCGUGCGGCAGGUCGGUAAUGAUGGCAUCUUUAACAGCCGGAUGGGUUUUGAGAAUGGGCUCGAGCUUGGACGGAAAUAUGGACACCUUCUUGUAAUAGAAGACCUCUUUGAUACGGUCGGUGAUGUAGAAACAGAAGUGCUCGUCGUAGUAGCCGAGAUCGCCCCCCAUUCGUCCCAUUUGGACGCGUUCUUCAGCAUACUCGGUUGGAACACCGAUCCGAAGCGUAUCUCGCCGACUCUUCUCUCCGGUCUUCGGAUGGACAACCUUAUACGAGAAACCCACGUUAGGUCUUCUGUACGAUGUGCCAAUUUAAUGACGUUCAAAGUUCCGAAGUCCCAUCCCAACGUCACACCGCCGAACUCGGUUUGGCCGUAGAGUGGCAAAACGACCGUUAUCAGUAGAAUGUUUCGCAGCUAGUCAUACGCAGUACGAACACGUGGCACCACACACGAAAAGAAAAGCCAAACUGUAAUUACACGGUUGUGGGCUGUUGAGGAAUUGCUGCACCAGAGAGGGCGCUAACAACAUGAUGGAAAUCUAAACCGUAAGACUUAGCUUAAUUCGGUUUUCUGACGUCAGCAUACCUGAUAUUUCAUCUGGAGUGAAAUCGGAAAUGAAGACGUCGAAGUGUGCAAAGUCGACAAUCGGCACGUCUGCUCCAUGUUCCAUUACUGCUUUGUUUAGUUUGCUGCCACCGGAAGAGUCAGUGAAGAUGAUGAGCGGUUGGAUUUUCUUUAGGAACUCCACCGUGUCGGUCAACGACAGAUUGAAAUCAAUGCACGACGGAAGCGCCCCGAUGAAAUAGCUGGCGAUUAACGGAACGACGGUGUUGAUGUCGUUAUGGAUGUGCACCAGUACAGGAUCAGUAGCGUCGACUUUGGAAGCCUCAAACGCCCUGGCCGUUCGGAUGCAGCAUCUCAGGAGAUCUGUAUAGGUGUCGACUUCGCCAGUUGUAUCAUCCAUCUAGAGAAGAGCUAACCUGAGCGUACCUGAAUAAUCGAGGCGGAAAGUGCGGCUAGCAUUUAUUUGUAAAUGACUUCUUAUAAUCCUUGAGUGUGUGGGUUUUAUAGCGAAUGCUAAA